AUUGAACGCUGGCGGCAGGCCUAACACAUGCAAGUCGAGCGGAUGAAGGGAGCUUGCUCCUGGAUUCAGUGGCGGACGGGUGAGUAAUGCCUAGGAAUCUGCCUGGUAGUGGGGGAUAACGUCCGGAAACGGGCGCUAAUACCGCAUACGUCCUGAGGGAGAAAGUGGGGGAUCUUCGGACCUCACGCUAUCAGAUGAGCCUAGGUCGGAUUAGCUAGUUGGUGGGGUAAAGGCCUACCAAGGCGACGAUCCGUAACUGGUCUGAGAGGAUGAUCAGUCACACUGGAACUGAGACACGGUCCAGACUCCUACGGGAGGCAGCAGUGGGGAAUAUUGGACAAUGGGCGAGAGCCUGAUCCAGCCAUGCCGCGUGUGUGAAGAAGGUCUUCGGAUUGUAAAGCACUUUAAGUUGGGAGGAAGGGCAGUAAGUUAAUACCUUGCUGUUUUGACGUUACCAACAGAAUAAGCACCGGCUAACUUCGUG
rnacentral:rRNA from 1 species